rnacentral:piRNA from 1 species
UAUUUUAGUUUCAGUACAAAAGGAAGUGGC